rnacentral:tRNA from 1 species
UAAAGUAUUUUAUUCUUUUACAAUGAAUUAUUAUCCUUAACAAGGGUUGCUUUAA